UGAGGCUGUGACAUCACCAGCCCACGCUGCCACCUAGGGUUAUGUCUGGAUCCAUGACCCUGCAGCAGCAGCAAGAGUCUGUGUCAGUGUCUGCAGUCCUUGGCCCACUCACCAAAGGCCAUGUGGACAUCCCUGGUCUGGGCUGCUGCCUGGGCCAUGUUGAUGUUCCGGGGCUACACAGAGCUGGCCGUGCCAUUCGCCUGGGCAGUGCAGAAGAGCUGGCCCUGGCGCCAUGGGUCCAGGAGAGUUGAUGGGCUGACCAACUUAGCUACCACCCAGGUCCGGAUCCAGGGAUUGCAGUUGACCCACACCAACAUCUACCCCAUCUUUGAACUGCUGGAGCCUGUGAAGGGGCCAGUCCUGCAGAUCCAAAGCUCCAGGAUCUCCAUAAGACAGGGCAACAGGGGUUGGAGAUUUAGCUCAGUGGUAGAGCGCUUGCUUGCCUAGGAAGCGCAAGGCCCUGGGUUCGGUCCCCAGCUCCAAAAAAAAGAACCAAAAAAAAAAAAAAAAAA
rnacentral:lncRNA from 1 species